ACAUGUCUAUUUUAACCUAAAAACCCAUUUUAUGUUUCUUCUGUCAACCUUCAAAGAAAACUGAUGCUCCAAAAAGAUGCCUUCUUACCAUUUUACGGAUGAGGCUUAGUGGUUGUUAAUUGGUGAUACACAGAUACAAUCCUGCUCUCCCAAAUAGGUGUCCUGUGCUCACAUGUACACAACACCCAGUCACCUCUGCCGUCACAACGCAGCAUCUCCGGACUCGCCUUUGCCCGGCCGCCUUCUGCACCUGAGCGCGUCCCUCGGGCGCGUCCCCACGUCUCCCUGCUAGCCCGUGAUUCCUUUCCCUGUCGUCGCCUCCAAAUGGUCCAGAAAGAGAGCACCAGGUCCCACCUUCACUCACCCUCAGCGCUAAGCGACCGAGGUUUGCGGUCACCGACAAAGAUGAAAUGUCAGCCCUUUGCGUGCAGAGGGCGUACCAGCUCCUCCAGAUAUCUAUCCGGCGCCGCCGCCGCUCGGACUCCGGUGGCCGAGACCAGGUGUCAGUUCUCAUACUAGUCUGAGCGUCUGCUUUUCCGGCCAGGACUACAUUUCCCACAGACGCUGCGGCUCGAGGCGGCGUCGCUUCGAAACGGGCAUCUUGUUCCGUGCCUACGGCGGCGCUCGAGCCGCCCGGGUCCAGGCGCCUGGAGGCCUGACGGUUGCAUCCGGCCGACCGGCUCCGCGUACCAGCCGCUCCGCGUCGGGUCUGGCGGUUCUGUUUGGCGCGGAGAAGCUGUACGAGCCCAGUGUCCACGCUGAGAGGAGUCCCGAGGCCUGCUGCCCGCUUCCGGACUACAUUUUCCAGAGGACUCCGCAGGUGGACGCUACCUUCCUCAGGAUUUCGGCCGCUUUGCGGGAUGGCGGAACCGUUGGCUUCCCCGAGUUAGUAGCUGCGGGGCGUUUGGAGUUCGGGGCAACUUAACCUGUUCGGGCCAGAACGGAACUAGGGAAGGACUAGGGUGAGGAGUUCAGUUUCUGCUAAGAGGAAGACUAAAGAAUGAUUAUUGAACAGCCAGAGGCCACGAUCAAGAUCAACAGACAAGAGAUCAAGGUACAGAAGUCUUCAGUGCCAUCUAAACGACAUCUGUAGAUUGACAGCAGAGUAUGUAUUCUUUACAGUUGCAUGUGGAAUAUUCACCAUGAUAAACAAUAUUCUGGAUAAACUAAAUCUUCAUAAAUGUAAAAGAACUAAAAUCAUGCCAAGCAUUUUCCUUACCAGAAUUGAAUUAAAUUAGAAAAAAGUAACAAAGAUAUUUAGCAAGUCCACAAAUACUUAAAAAUUAAACAACUGACAUGUAAUCAACCCAUGAGUCAAACAGGAAGUCUCAAAUGAAAUUGGAGGAUAUUUUCAACUGAACAAAAGUGGAAAUACACGAUACUUAUUAAUUUAUAAGUAUAGCCACAGCAAGUACCAAGAGGGAAAUUCUUUUUUUUUUUUAUAAGAUUUUAUUAAUUUGUUAGAGAGAGCGAGAGAGGCACAAACAGGGGGAGUGGCAGGCAGAGGGAGGUGCCUGACAUGGGACUUGAUCCCGGGGUCCUGGGAUCAUAACCUAAGUGAAGGCAGACACUUAAUGGACUGGGCUGCCCAGGCAUCUCCCAAGAGGGAAAUUUUUAGCAACCAAAUGGGUUGGUAUCAGAGUAAGUGUAAUAUGGUCAAGAUCUUCACCACCAUCCAGGCUAACCAGGCCACACUCUUUUCUAUGGUGAAUAUAGAGGGCAAAUGAGCAGUAAAGAGGUAUUCCUACCUCUCCCAGCCAGUUAGGUAUAAAAAGGAGGCUGGUAGGGUGCCAGCACUACCAUUCACACAUAAUAGGAGGACUCCUCCAUCCCCCUGUCAGUGGAGACUGAAUCUCUCACCUGCACAAGAUGGCACACCCCCUUCCCAUGUGAGUGGAGUCAGAGAAUGCCAGCUUAAACAAGGUUUAAAUAUGAUUUAAAUCUUAACACAAAAUUUUCACACUUCAACUAAAAAUUUAUCAUGAUACCAAGAACCAGGAAAAUCUCAAAAUGAGUGAAAAAAAGAUAUUCAAAAGAGUAUCAAGAUGACAGAGAUGUUAGAAUUGUCUCAUAAAUACCUCAAACUUCAUAAAAAUGCCUGAAACAAA